rnacentral:rRNA from 1 species
GACGAACGCUGGCGGCGUGCUUAACACAUGCAAGUCGAACGGAAAGGCCCUGCUUUUGUGGGGUGCUCGAGUGGCGAACGGGUGAGUAACACGUGAGUAACCUGCCCUUGACUUUGGGAUAACUUCAGGAAACUGGGGCUAAUACCGGAUAGGAGCUCCUGCUGCAUGGUGGGGGUUGGAAAGUUUCGGCGGUUGGGGAUGGACUCGCGGCUUAUCAGCUUGUUGGUGGGGUAGUGGCUUACCAAGGCUUUGACGGGUAGCCGGCCUGAGAGGGUGACCGGCCACAAUGGGACUAAGAUACGGCCCAGACUCCUACGGGAGGCAGCAGUGGGAAAUAUUGCAGAGUGGGCGGAAGCCUGAUGCAGCAACGCCGCGUGCGGGAUGACGGCCUUCGGGUUGUAAACCGCUUUCGACUGUGACGAAGCGUGAGUGACGGUAAUGGGUAAAGAAGCACCGGCUAACUACGUG